GCCCACGGUGGCUCAGAUGGAUAGAACGUCUGCCAUGUAAGCAGAAGAUCCCGGGUUCGAGUCCCGGUCGGGGCA
rnacentral:tRNA from 1 species